GUAAAAAGAAUAAAGAAAAGAAAGAAAUGGAGUUUUAGUCCAUCUUGGUUUAUAUAGUGAGUUCCAGGACAACCAGAGCUACAUAGUGAGACCCUAUAUCAAAGUUUUUAAUGAUUGUAUACUGUUUGCUCUUAAUCUCUUGUUAGGGUUUGUCAAUGAGGCAGAUCAGAUUCCGGUUUGAUGGACAGCCAAUCAAUGAAACAGACACACCUGCACAGUUGGAAAUGGAGGAUGAAGAUACGAUUGAUGUGUUCCAGCAGCAGACAGGAGGUGUCUACUAAAAAGGGAACCUGCUACUUUACUCCAGAAUUUUGUUAUAGACCAAGAAUACAUUCGCAAUUAGAAAGCCGCAAUUUGGUUCCACCACAUCCUGACUACUACAGUAUAGUUUUCUCUAUUCUUUCAUUUCCCUGUCCCCAUUUCUUUAUUGUACAUAAAGUAACUGGUGUAUGUGCACAAGCAUAUUGCGCUUUUUCCUUUUUUCUUUUUUUCUUUUUUUUUUCUUUUUUAAACUAAAUGGCCAAUGUUCUGUUUUGAUUGACAUCAGAUGGAGGUGGUCGGGGGAAGUACUGGUUCUGUGAAAAUACCCCCUACUCCAUUAGUGGCAUGCUCAUUCAGCUCUUAUCUUUAUAUUCCAGUAAGUUAUUUUGCUCUCAAUGUUUUAACAAAAGAACCCAACCACAAAAUCCUUGCAUACCUUGUUCGAUUGGAGAAUUUUAAUGUUUUUCAUUUAUCAUUGUAAAACCAAGGACAAUUUUAUAACUUUUUUGUACGUAGCUGUUACAUGUAGGGCAAUCUGUCUUUAAGUAGGGAUAAAUUACUCUUGAACAAAAUGAUCCUAGAUAGUUUUCCCUUCAAGUCAAGCGUCUUGUUGUUUAAAUAAACUUCUUGUUUAAAAUGA